CGAAAGUGUGACGGAGCAAUGCCGCGUGCAGGAUGAAGCGGCUUCGCCGUGUAAACUGCUGUCAGGGGUCAGAAACACUGAUCGACCCCAAAGGAAGAGCCGGCUAACCCUGUGCCAGCAGCCGCGGUAAUACAGGGGGCUCAAGCGUUAAUCGGAAUCACUGGGCUUAAAGGGUGCGCAGGCGGACGCGAAAGUGUCCUGUGAAAUCCCCCGGCUCAACCGGGGAAUUGCGGGGCAAACUACGCGUCUCGAGGCGGGUAGAGGCUGUCGGAACGCUAGGUGGAGCGGUGAAAUGCGUAGAGAUCUAGCGGAACGCCAAAGGUGAAGACAGGCAGCUGGGCCCGUCCUGACGCUCAGGCACGAAAGCGUGGGGAUCAAACGGGAUUAGAUACCCCGGUAGUCCACGCCCUAAACGAUGCGCGCUAGAUUGGUGCGGCUCUGACGCCGUAUCGGUCGUAGAGAAAUCGAUAAGCGCGCCGCCUGGGAAGUACGGUCGCAAGGCUA
rnacentral:rRNA from 1 species